UUCAAACACAAGUUCCCGUACGAUCACCGAAGUUAUGCAACGUCACACCUGGUCAGUAGGUAGAUGGGUGACCGCUUGGGAAUAUCAAGUGG